AUUGAACGCUGGCGGCAUGCCUUACACAUGCAAGUCGAACGGCAGCACGGGAGCAAUCCUGGUGGCGAGUGGCGAACGGGUGAGUAAAGUAUCGGAACGUGCCCAGUCGUGGGGGAUAACGUAGCGAAAGUUACGCUAAUACCGCAUACGAUCUAUGGAUGAAAGCGGGGGAUCGCAAGACCUCGCGCGAUUGGAGCGGCCGAUAUCAGAUUAGGUAGUUGGUGGGGUAAAGGCUCACCAAGCCGACGAUCUGGAGCUGGUCUGAGAGGACGGCAAGCCACACGGGGACUGAGACGCGGCCCAGACUACUACGGGAGGCAGCAGUGGGGAAUUUUGGACAGUGGGCGCAAGCCUGAUCCAGCCAUGCCGCGUGCAGGAUGAAGGCCUUCGGGUUGUAAACUGCUUUUGUACGGAACGAAAAGGUUUGACUUAAUACGUUGGACUCAUGACGGUACCGUAAGAAUAAGCACCGGCUAACUACGUGCCAGCAGCCGCGGUAA
rnacentral:rRNA from 1 species